rnacentral:rRNA from 16 species
GGAUGCGAUCAUACCAGCACUAAAGCACCGGAUCCCAUCAGAACUCCGAAGUUAAGCGUGCUUGGGCAAGAGUAGUACUAGGAUGGGUGACCUCCUAGGAAGUCCUCUUGUUGCAUCCC